GACGAACGCUGGCGGCGCGCUUAACACAUGCAAGUCGAACGUGAAGCCCGGGCUUGCCCGGGUGGAAAGUGGCGAACGGGUGCGUAACACGUGAGCAACCUGCCCCGAAGACCGGGAUAACACCGGGAAACCGGUGCUAAUACCGGAUGCCCUCAUCAUGUCGCAUGGCGAGAUGAGGAAAUGGAUUCCGCUUCGGGAUGGGCUCGCGGCCUAUCAGCUUGUUGGUGGGGUAACGGCCUACCAAGGCGACGACGGGUAGCUGGUCUGAGAGGAUGUCCAGCCACACUGGGACUGAGACACGGCCCAGACGCCUACGGGAGGCAGCAGUGGGGAAUCUUGCGCAAUGGGCGAAAGCCUGACGCAGCGACGCCGCGUGCGGGAUGAAGGCCUUCGGGUCGUAAACCGCUUUCAGCAGGGACGAUAGUGACGGUACCUGCAGAAGAAGCCCCGGCCAACUACGUGCCAGCCGCCGCGGUAACAC
rnacentral:rRNA from 1 species